GCCAUCUUAGGGUUGGAUCGGACCCUGGUGGACCUGGACGGGCGCUCAGGAGCUGUGCUCGGCCAGGACGGAAGCGCUCAGCCCCUCUGGGUGCAGUUCUAGCCUAUCCGGGGGUCCCACUGCUCCCCAAGUGCAAAUUCAAAUGCUGGGCCGGGCUGUGUGUGUUCUGUGACGCAGAGACGUGCUAGGGAAGCACCCGUUUACCUCGUUCCGUAACCCGCCUGCAGAGACUCGCCCUUGGCCCAGGCUUGAGCUCGAGGCAUUUUGUUUUCCCUUAAGGGAAGAUACUGAAGUGUCAGAGCUCCGCUCAUGUUUGGGAAUCUGAGACAUAAAACCGGGUGUGUUCACAUGAACUUGAAGAUGCCUCAGCUCAGCCUGCAGAACACACUCCGGCCUCGGCAGCAUCCUACAUUCUUGUCCCAUCUCCUAAAUACGAGACCAAAAGAGAACCUUUCUACUGGGCGUAGUGGUAGUGAUGGCGCCCGCUUUUAAUCCCAGUACUCGGGAGUCACGGGCAGAAACGAAAAAAGCUCCACGAGUCAAACAAGACUGGAGAGCUGGAGGUUGGAAGCACCAUCGUCCGCUGCGGGAUCUCGCCCACCAAGUGAGCGUCUUUAUGGCUGGAAUGCGGAAGAAGCACCCAGGUCCGACAGAAAGGGCCGAAGAGGCCCCUGCACCUGCGCCUCUGCCCCUCCCUACCCUCUGCUACAGUUUCAACGGGUCUGAGAGAGGAUGCUAUUUGGAUCUCUUUUCUUGCAGUGGUCCUCAGGAGAUAUUCUUGGUGCCCAUUUUCUUAAUAGUUCCUGAAGAAGAGACAGCUCAUCCUGAAGGCCAGAGAUUGUAAGAGCUGAGGAGCCCAUCUAGAGGGAGGCAAGGAAGGGCACAGAGGAAUAUUGUUGCAGGUCUAGCUUUCUGUCUUUCUUUUUUCUUUUUCUUUGUGUGUGUGAGAGAGGAAGAGAGACUGGGUCUCUGUUUAGACCAGGCUAGCCUGGAAUUCUUGUUUUGUUUUUGUUUUUUUCAAGGCAGAUUUUUCUGUGUAGCCCUGGCUGUCCUAGAACUCACUUUGUAAAUCAGGCUCUCCUCGAACUCGGAGAUCCACCUCCCUCUGCCUCCUGAGUGCUGGGAUUAAACUACCCAGCUAGUUUUCUAUUCUUUUUUUUUAAAUUUUUAUUAAUUACACUUUAUUCACUUUGUAUCCCCCCCAUAACCCCUCCCUCCUCCCCUCCCAAUACCACCUUCUCUCCCCCUUCUCCAUGCAUGCCCCUCCCCAAGUCCACUGAUAGGGGAGGUCUUCCUCUCCUUCCUUCUGAUCCUAGUCUAUCAGAUCUCAUCAGGAGUGGCUGCAUUGUCUUCUGUGGCCUGGUAAGGCUGCUUAGUUUUCUAUUCUUAAGGUCCUUGCUUCUUCUAGAGUCUUAAAUGUUCUUUCCCCUUCUGUGCCCUGACUCUCCAUGAUCAAAGCCACAGGCGGUUUUCCCACUGCCCAUUAUUAUAAGUGGACCCAAUUUGAUAAAUGGAAUGCUAUGCCCCAAUUCCUCCAGCCCUUUGCCUCUCUAGCUCUUCCUCUCCCAUCCAGUCUCUCUUCCCUUCUCACCUGGACCUCAGGCCUUCCCCUCAGGUAACAGCGUUUCCAGAACCUGAUCUGAGGUCCCAGAUAUCCAGGCAGCAGUAGCCCAGGAGGUAAAGGGCAAGCCCCCCAAUGUGACGGGAGCCCCCAUUCCUGGUCAGCUAGGCUUUCAGAGGACCUAGCAGCUCGAGGAAGCCAAUGAGAGGAGACUGCCAGCAAGGAGGGGCUGUCUUGCCAAGGACAGAGCUGAUUCAUGGGGGUCAGGGCCCCUCUAGAGAACAGCAACACAGAACUGGGGGGACCAGGAGCCAUGAAGCUUGUCUAAAAGAGAAAGAGAAGUCAACAGGCAAGUGAGAAAACACCCACUCUCUGAAGUAGAAAGGGUACCCAGCUGCCACCCACUCACUGGACCAGUGGCUGAACUCCAACCUCCUUCUUCCGGCCUCCCUUCUUCUCAUCAGGCUCAAGCGCUUUGAGCUUAGUAGGUUGAUUUGUACUAUAUGGACAUGAAAGAAGGCUAACAAACAAAUGAAGACAAAAAGAGUGCUGUCUGCUCUUCUGGGACAUCUGUCCUGCUGACCGCAGGCUAUAAGCGACAGCUGUAAAGGAACUCAGAUAUCUUAUUCUACAUCACAUCUCGUGGUGAGAACCUGGGAAAGUCAGGGAAUUGAAGUGUAGGCAUCGUACCUGCUGUCCAGGGAACCAGGAAUCUGGGCAAUGCUCUGGAUUGUAGCCAGGAUUAAGGAACUGCGAUAUCUGUUCCUUGCUGUAGCGUAAAUCCCAGUCCCAGACAGACAGAUGUAAAUUACCAGAGCUCCCAGCUAGGGCCUGGGAGUCCUCGGGGGUGUAAACUUGUGUGUAGGAGUUGAACUGGACAGAGGAAACAAGAAAAGGGGUGUUUAGAACUCAGGAAGUAGCUCGGAUAAAAGCACCUGCCAUGUGAGGUGAAGACCUGAGUUUGAAUUCUCAGAACCCACACAAAGCCAGACACACAGCUCAGGGUCUGAUUGUCAGUGCUACUGCAGGACGGUGGAGGCAGAGAGGAGAAUCCUGGAAGCUGGGGGGCAGCUGGCCUGAAGUACCCAGCCAACUAGCAACAGAGACUGCCGAGAUGGGGGGAGGGGAGGGCUGAGGCCUGAGGCUGGCCGCUGGCUUCUGGUGACAUGCACACAUUCACGCUCACACACGUGAAUGUGCACAGACAUUUUUUUAACAGGGAUGGUUAAAUGAGAGCGAGACAGAGACACAGAGAGUACAGAGUUUUGUUUCCCACAUCUGGAAACAAAUUAUGAACCUCUUACCUCCUGUUUCAGCCAUCAAAUACAAAACAAAAGUCUAAUUCCAAGAGUGAGCUCCCCAAACCCCUUUCACAAACUUCAAUUUUCAUAAAUCUAGAAUGAAUCUCAAAGUUUGAAUAGUCAACAGAAGAAAAUAGGAAAUAGAGGCACCUGUCCACUCUUCUUCCCACGCUCCCAGGGAGUAUUUCUCAGAAAGGUAAGGGUGUCGGGAACCCGGAUGCUGUCAUGCAGAGCAAGGAGGAAGAACUCCGAGAAUUGGAAUUGAGCUGGGAACUGCUGGAGGAGCUGCCAGGCACAGUCGAGGAAGAGCGGAAACACUGGGGCCUGAGAAGAGAAAAAGCUAAGAGUCUGUGAGGAUCUCAAGAAGGGCUAGCAAAAUAUGAGAACGGGGCCCCAGAGACAGGACACUAAGAAGGUCAGGGGUUAAAACAGGAAUUGAGAGCCGGAGGGCCGUGAGGCUGGCUCACCUGAGUGUCCACUCAGCUUAACUCGGCCCAUUUAGACCAGUUUAGGCUAUAUUCUUAACCCUCAUUUCUUUAAUAAUGACCCCCCUUGAAAAAAGUGUUCUCACCUCCUCACUGGCCCCAGUUUCCCCAAGCCUGGUCAGGAAGGGGUGACCAGCUGCCACCCACUCCCGUUGCACUAGUGACUGGAAACCAAACAAUGUCCGAGCUUCAGGGGCCAAAAGCAGCUGGACGAGUGAAGAGAGGAGGCCAUUGAAAUCACGAUCACCGUGCUCUGGGUGAAGAAGGAACAAAGAAGGGAGUCCAAGAAACUAGGGCAGGAGGGAAGGAGACGAGGAAACAUGGGAAAGGGGGAGAAGGCAGGAUUGAGAGGGCACAGAAAAGUAAAGAGAAAACAAAGCGCAAAUGAUUCACUUUGUAGAUUUUACAUUCUCUAGAAACACCCAGUGUCACAGAGGAAGCAAGUCACACCUCCCAAAGCAGCACCCCGGUGUCCUUCUCACCCUGCCCCUGUCCACUGAUGAAGGGGUGAGAGGGACUAAGAACAUCUUAGAAUUAGGGACAACGGUUAACAGUCAGGGACUGAGUAGCUCUGACAGCUGAAUUGGCACGAGUGCUUCCUACUAACAGGAAGAUGCUGGUAUUAAAGAGGCACAAGGAAGCUCCCCCUUCCACACUAUGACUCACUUGGAGGAAAAAGGUAAGGAAUGGAAGGAGCUGACCCAAGGAACUCACCUUGAAGUAUGACAGAACGGACCCGGGAUGUCACUAAUACCGAGAUGUCACUGGCCUUUCGAAGACAAGACCUGGGAGGGCAUGUGAGGAAGGGGAACGGAUUGGAAGAGAGCAGUUUUCCAAACACCUGCUUCUGCCUCUGAAAAACACUAAGUCUUCUUGGGAAACUGAAGGGAUGCAUUUAUGGAAGGCCACCGGAAAGCCAGGAAAAGAGAAGUGGAAUUAUUACCCAUGCUUAGAAGACUGGGAAUACCUGACAUAGUCCAACCAUCGGGUUCCUUCCAAGGCUGAGAGCCACUUAUCUUCAGCUACAGAUGAAUCUAGCAGGGGGGAUCAAGAAGGACAAGGAGAUCAGAACCCAGGACUCAGGAUCUAGGUCUAUACCCAGAGGGGGUAAGAAGUCUGGUUGAGAGCCAUGUGUGUGAUACACACCUUUAAUCUCAGCACUCAGAGGCAGCCAGACCUCUGAGUUCCAGGCCAGCCUAAUUGACAUAGUAAGUUUCAUUUCAGGACUGCCAGGGCUACACGGAGAAACCCUGUCUCAAAAAAAUAGAAUAGCCAGGCAUGGUGGCUGUUUCCCAGCACUCAAGGAGGCAGAGGCAGUCAGAUAUCUGAGUUUGAGGCCAGCCUGCUCUACAAAGUGAGUCCAGGACAACCAAGGCUACACAGAGAAAUUGUCUCAGAAAAACACAAACAAAAUCCACCCUACUUAAUAACUUAAAAAAAAAAGAAAGUCUAGUAGUGGUUUCUUAAGACUGGUUAAGAAUUAUGAAUGAAGCCCUUAGGUUUGAUCUUGAACAUUUAAAGUUUUUUAUGGGUAUACAAUAUUGUAAAUAAAAUUAAUCAAUUCAUCGUA